UUCGCCAAACAUUUUGCCAGGUGCAAAACCACUCCUCUCCCAAGACAGCAAGUAUUGAUUAAGCACCUACUGUGUGCCAUGCGGGAGGUUGAUACUCAAAACAUCAGCACAUGAUGCAGUUUGCAGGACUGCUGGAUUUCACAUUUCACCUCUUCUCACCAUGUUCUUGUCUUCUGGAAAGCCUGACCAAGGGUUGAUUGAUCUUCUCCUGUCGGUGGUUAUCCUCUCCAAUGCAGAAACUCUCUCUACUGCCUCUAAACAAGGGACCCAGGAUCUCCGGGUCUUUUGAACUUAAAGGUUGUCUCCGAGGCUGGACAUGUCUAUCUCAGAAAUUACUUUUCAUAAACCUGUACUCAGGAAAGGAAUAAAACAGAAGCAGCAGCCCCGGGCCCAAGGCCUAGUCUCUGUCACCUAAUCUUGAGCAUGCUGGAGCUGCCGUCUGCCAAGUUUACUGUUUCUGCAGGUCAUCAGCCCCACCCUCACCCCUUGAGAUGCUGACAUCUCCAGAUAGAAGAGAGGUAGAAGGUAGAGUCACUCCCCUUUUAAAGUCCCCCGAUACUGUUCUUGCUCAGUGUCAAUAAGGGGACUGUUUCCUCAUCCCAGAGUCCUUCCCCAGAAAUGGCUCCGCAUUUCCAUGGAGUGUGCCCCAGUCUAACUCCUGCUGUGUGUAUGUUUUGUUUUCCCAACCAGACUGAUGCUUUUCAAAAGUCCGGAUUUGUGGUUUCAAUUUCUUUUUCAUCUCCCUUAAGUAGAGAACUGUGCAUAUGACAGAUAACUGAUGUUCAGUGAAUACUUAUUGAUCAAACGAUUGAGAAGCAAAAAUGAGACCAGUUAUAAAUGCGUGGCGAGAGGGGCACUGUAUUUUCUUAAGCAGGGUAAUACUUCACUGGGCCUAUGAUGUCUUCAGGGCAUCAUUACCCAAGAAUACAAGCGAUUGCCUGCUGGAGUUAGAGAUGGACCUUGGGAAUCCAAAGUUUCUGUUCAGUGUUCUAUCACUUUAGAAUCAUGGAGUUAGACAGAACAUCAGAACCCGUGGUCCAGACUGUAUCUUAACAGGAAUCCCUUCUGAAGGAUGCCAGCGUGCUUGUCCAGCCUUUGCUUGAAGACAUCUCCCCCCACAUCUCAAGAAGUAAAACUUCUUGAGGCAGCCAGUUGCCCUUUUGGAUUGUUCUAAUUGUUAGCUUUUUCUUGAAUCAAGGCCUAAAUUUGCCUUUCCACAACUUCUACACAUUGUUUCUAGUUCUGUCUUCUGAGCCAGUCUAAUGCCUCUAACCUACUAGUCUAAUAACCCUAAGUGCUCUUGUAUCUGACAGCUCUUCAGAUACAAGAAGACAGCCAUCAUAUGCCUCCUCAGUUUUCCCUUCUUCAGGAUAUCUAUCCCUAGUGCUUCCGUUAACGCUUAUAUUUCAUGAUCUCAAAGCUAUUCAUUUUCCUGG